AUACUUACCUGGCAGGAGGGACUCCAUAUUCAGAAAAGCGGUUUUCCCAGGUCGAGCUUCAUCCAUUGCACUUGGGAUGUGCUGACCCCUAUGAUUUCCCCAAACGCGGGGAAACUCGACUGCAUAAUCUGUGGUACUGGGGAACUGUGUUCACAGUCUCCCCU
ensembl:snRNA U1 U1 spliceosomal RNA